rnacentral:lncRNA from 1 species
GUCCCCGCGCCCUGUGCCACACCAACCAGUCCCUGGGGCGCGGCCUAGCAACCACGAGGGGGCGAGGCUCUGAUGGGAAUGGUCCCACUGGAAAUGGGGACCACCCCAAUUUCAGUCUAUCAGAAGGCCGGGCCUUUGGCAGCUUGGCAGCUCAGCCAAUCACAAGCUGCUUGUCGGUCCCCGCCCCGCCUUUCUCCUUAGGAAAACUGCAGGAUGGACUCUUGCACAUCACUACCUGCAGUUUUGUGGCUCCCUGGAACAGCCUGAGCUUAGCUCAGCGCCGGGGCUUCACCAAGACCUACACUGUUGGCUGUGAGGAAUGCACAGUGUUUCCCUGUUUAUCCAUCCCCUGCAAACUGCAGAGUGGCACUCAUUGCUUGUGGACGGACCAGCUCCUCCAAGGCUCUGAAAAGGGCUUCCAGUCCCGUCACCUUGCCUGCCUGCCUCGGGAGCCAGGGCUGUGCACCUGGCAGUCCCUGCGGUCCCAGAUAGCCUGAAUCCUGCCCGGAGUGGAAGCUGAAGCCUGCACAGUGUCCACCCUGUUCCCACUCCCAUCUUUCUUCCGGACAAUGAAAUAAAGAGUUACCACCCAGCA